CCUUGUUCAAACCUUUUGCUUACCUCUUCUUCCCAUCGUACUGCUGUUACUCACUUGGGACAUUUUGCUCCCAGACUUGCAUGUCUGUGCUUCUCCUCGUGUUUCCCUCCGUUUGCCGAGACAGAGAGUUUACUCCUGCUGUCAUCAACAGAAAUUGUUGUACACGAACAGGCAUAAAAUGGGAAAAACCAUGAAAACUUGAGAAUACAUAAAAAGGGAAACAAAGUUUCUUUUAAAUCUAACAAUAACUAGGGUAUGGAGCUGGACCACCGCUGUGUGAUGUUAGCUCUAUUGCAUGUGGGGUGUCAGAUAUGUUGUUUUCUCACUGAACGUCUCUCCCAUUUCUUGCUCCACAAAGGUCAGUAAGAGUCAAAAGACAAAUUUUAGGUUUUACAACUUUUUAAUAAUAGUUUCAACCAUCAUUUUCCUACUGGCCACAACAAUCUGCACUUACUGACACAAGCUGAACAGGUCUUGAGUCAUCAAAUGCACUGAAUACAAUAGCAGAAAACUUCUACUGUUUUGGAAUUAAAGUAAAUUAGGGAAAAGCUCUCUAUAGUUUUUUCUUUCUAAAAUAACCUUUCUGAUCAUUAAUCAUUGUCAAAACUUAUAAAAACUAUAAAGGGUCUCAUUUUUUCUGGGAGAGAUACAUAAUUUUUAAUAUUCCAAUAAAGUUGAAUCUUUUUGUCAUUAGGAACUUUUACAAUAUUUACUACAGAUCUUCAUUUAACUGACGUUUGUGUAGCAGUUUCAUACCAAUCAGAUCUUAUCACAUCAGCAUGUAGUUGGGUCAAGGUUUGCUGUAAAAGACAAAGAUAGCCAAGAGUUUACUGUCAAAUGUUUAAAGCUUGUGAUGAAAAAAGCGUCCGAGUUUUAUUACACUGUUUAAACUUAAGAUUGAACUCUACUUUGAGUUCAAGCUUCUUACAGAGUUUUAUAUACAAUAAAACCAGUGCUUGUAACCACAAUAGAAACAAUUUACAGGUACACAUGGUAGUCAUCUAAAAAAAUGCUCUUUUACAGCAAUUAGUGUCACUUCAGAUAAGGAUGUGUCGGAAGCCUUACAAUAAAUGUCUUUCACAUACCAUGCCCUAUCUUUAGUUCCCAGUCCCAGCAAGAGCUAAGGGAAGUCAUCCAUGAGUUAAUCUUUAGUUGAAUUGAUUACCACGAGAGUGUCUUCAAAGGUCUGCCUAAAAAGUCAAUCAGACAUCUGCAGCUGCUGUUGUCAUUUUCAGUUUCCUCAUCGUUUACCAUUUUUUUUGUAAAUCUCUGCUAAAAUGGUUAUUUCUUUUACUAGAACCAGCUCUUUUUCCUUUCAACUGUAAUAUACAUCUAUGAACAUAAACACGGCCUCUUGUAACUGAAAAACAUUCCUUGUGCUUGCCAUUAAUAUUAGGAACUUUUGAACAGAAUGACUUUAUUGCUCUUUUAAGAUUGAAUGAAAAUAAUCAAUCUGAGAGAGAGCUAUUGGCAUACAACAGCUUUGCUGAUGAGGCGUUAAUGAUCACUUACGGUAUGUAUAGAUCAAAAGGCUUCAGUAUUAGAAAGAAGAUAAGAUAGUGGAUUUACUGAUCAUUUUGUUAGAGACCUAUUCAAAAGGAAGGUAUACUUUUUUUGUGAAUUUGCUGAAUAGAACAGUUGGAAUUAUAGUUUGCAGUUUUAUUGAAUAUUUUAGGAUUCACAAAUUUAUUGGUUUGGCAAAUAUUUAUCUAUUUUACAUGUUUGCUGGGAGGUCAUGGUCCGUGUCUUGAUUUUGGAAUAAAUCUAGAAUACAUUAAAGUUAUGCCCAAAUCUCCACAAAUCCCUCCUUUGUACCUUAAUGUUUGCAACAUUCUGAGAGAUGUUUAUGCUGUCCCAUAAAUAUUUAAAAUAGAUUACUUAUGCCCUCUCUCCAGCUCAUGUCCCUCUGAUUCCUUUAUCAGCAUUAGUAUUUCUUUCUGGUUGCACACUGUAAACUUUCAAACCUUUAUUGACCCUCUCCUCUGAGUGUCUUCCUUUAAGGAAGGUCUCAAGAUGUGCUGAGGCGUUACUCACAAAAGCAAGUGUGUCAGAGAAGGCGCAUGAAUAUCUUCCAGCUGCUGAGGGGUGAAGUUGGCUGUCAGCACAUUCUUACUUCACAGACUGGACUGGACUGACAUAGGGGAGGUUGGCGUCUAUUUCCAGUGGCCAACAGGCAGGAGACACCAGGCAGCUCAUCAACCAGUCACAUCUAAAGGCAAACUGAAGUGACCAGAUCAACCAAACAUCUGGAUUCAAAAGAGACUUAAAAACAGAGAGAACCAAACUCAACAAUGGAGAAAACUUUUGAUAGUAAUCCAGGCUUUGCACUGGCUGACUACGCCGUCUUUGCUGCUAUGUUGUCAGUAUCCAUGGCAAUUGGGCUUUUUCAGGCUCUGAAAAAACAGCGAAGGGAUGCAACUGCAGAGGCCUUCUUCACUGGAGGUCGGAGCAUGCCAGCUGUGCCUGUUGGUUUGUCGCUCUGUGCCAGCUUCAUGUCAGCUGUCCAGGUCCUGGGUGUUCCCUCAGAGGGAUUUCGCUAUGGCUUCAAAUUCCUCUACAUGUGCCUCGGACAAAGCAUCAACUCCCUGCUGACAGCUUACCUGUUCCUGCCAGUUUUCUUUCGACUGGGCAUCACCAGCACCAACCAGUAUCUAAAGAUGAGGUUUGGCAGAGGGAUGCAGCUGCUGGGAAGCAUCCAGUUUAUUCUUGCAACGCUGCUUUACACUGGGAUUGUCAUCUAUGCACCAGCCUUGAUCUUAAAUCAAGCUACUGGACUUAGUAUCUGGGUGUCUCUCUUUUCCACGGGGAUCAUUUGCACCAUGUACACCACACUGGGCGGCAUGAGGGCUGUUAUCUGGACUGAUGUGUUCCAGAUUGUUGUCAUGUUAUCAGGUUUCGUGGCAAUUUUCAUCCAAGGGACAAUUCUGGUCGGCGGUCCUGCACAAGUACUGGAGAUUGCCAGCAAUAAAUCACGCCUUAAUUUCAAUGAUUUUGAUGUCGAUCCACGGAAACGUUACACCUUCUGGAGCCUCAGUGUUGGGGGUUCCAUGGUUUGGUUGUCCAUGUAUGGAGUAAACCAAGCACAAGUUCAGCGCUACAUUUCCUGCCGAUCAGAGAAAGAUGCCCAGUGGGCUCUGUUUGUAAAUCAGAUCGGUCUGUGCCUCAUUGUGAGCAGCGCAGCAACCUGCGGUAUCGUCAUGUUUGCUUAUUACAACCUCUGCGACCCGCUGAAAUCUGGGAGGAUUUCUGCACCUGAUCUGUACAUGCCAUUCUUCGUGUUGGACAUAUUUCGUAAUCAUCCAGGAUUCCCAGGUCUUUUCCUUGCCUGUGCAUACAGCGGGACUCUCAGCACUGCCUCCACGAGUAUCAACGCCAUGGCUGCAGUGACAAUGGAGGAUAUACUGAGACCUCAUCUGCUCCAGACGACACAGAAUAAGCUGGUCCUUGUUUCCAAAGGAUUGUCAUUCCUGUAUGGAGCUGGAUGCAUCACUGUAGCAGCUCUUUCCUCCUUUCUGGACUGGGGGGUUCUUCAGGGUUCGUUCACUGUCAUGGGUGUGGUCAGUGGUCCAAUUCUGGGCAUAUUCAUUUUGGGAAUGUUUGUCCCAGGAACAAACAGGCUGGGGGCGUACUCUGGGAUAUUGGCGGGAUUCUGUGUCUCUCUGUGGCUGGCUGUGGGUUCAACUCUUCACCCACCCAGUGAGGAGACCAUGGGUGUCCUGCCCAGCUUCACAGACGGCUGCAGCUUUGCUAAUGGCACAAGAAACAACAGCUCUACGUGGCCUCCUCAACUUCUACUCCAUGUCUUACCUCUAUUUUGGAGCCAUGGCCACCAGUUCAGUCAUACUGGUGGGACUGAUAGUGAGCUAUGCAACAGGGCCAACAAAGAGGAGUCAAAUUAAAGAGGGGUUGUUAUGGUGGGACCUGAAUAAAAAGGAGAUGGAGAUCUCGUCAGAAAGCAAAACCGAUGUGAUAUCCUGGAUGUUCCCCUGCUUUGUUCAGACUGCAUGCAGGAAUGCACAACAGAUAUCUGUGGUUCACAUAGGAAAUAACCAG